CAUGGCGGAUAGCGGCAGAAACGAUUGAAAAAAGAUUUUAAAAUGGAUUAAAAGACUUUCACAAUCGGAGUUACUGUUUUAGAUUUGAUAUUUAAAUCCCCCAGAGAUUCUUCCAAACGGAGGGCUUCCAGAUAAAUAAGGAUGGCAAAGGCAACCUGAGGAAACCUGAGUACACUGGUGUAUUGUUUUGUAAUGCACUACGCCAAAUACUGCAGAGGAAUAUGGAAUCAUUAUCUCAUAAUCAUGCCCAGCAGCCCAGGCGAUAAAUCACGCAUGUCUGAUUGAAGAGGGCAGAGGGCCCGGACAAUAACAUUUGGGUGAAACUGCAGGGGAAAGCGUCUGAGUUUGCUGUGAUCCGUGGAGCCUGCAGACCUGCAGCCAAGUCCCACCAAAUUUCCUGCAUACCAUCUGAGCCAUCUGAUUGGCUAAAUGUCACAUGCCGGUCAACUCUUAAGCCUGGUUGCCACUGCCAUGAGGAGGACAGUCAGAAACAGGAAUGAGAGAGUGGGGGAGAGACAUGCAGGGAAGGAGCUGCAGGCCAGACUUGAAUCUGGGUCACCAGCAUACAUGAGAUGUGACCCACUAGGCCGUCUGCGCCCCAACUUUUUUUUUUUUUCUUAAAGCUGUGUUAUUUUUACAUCAAUUUUCCACAUAAUGCUCUUGGAGAGUGUGAUUUCCCUUUCUGAGAAUUUACACUGAAGAUCUGUUUCCUGAAAGCCAAUCAGGGUGUAGCAUAUUAGUAUCAAACCUAGUGACAGACAUGAUGACGGCUCUAGAAAUGCAUAGCUGAAAUAUUUCAGUUGUCCCGCUGUGACUAGCUGCAGUAUAGGUGAUGGGGGCUGAUCUCAAAAGGCUAAAACAGUUCCCAAACUUUUUUUCCUUAGGGCCCCCCUACUGAUAUCUAAGAGAAGCCAAACCCCCCUCAGGACCCACUUGAGAAAAGUAAACAUCAAUUUUAUUGUUAUCAUUGAUAAAAUCCCAACAUAACAGGUCUCCAUACACUUGUUCUUGAUAAAAAUCUAUGUUUAAAGUAUCUAUUAUUCUGAUAGUGUAUUAGGGCCACUUUAGAAAAAGUAGGAAGUACCAGUUAAUUUUCAAGAA